ensembl:lncRNA
AAAAAGCCCCCCUACCCCAAAUAUACAUAUAUAUGUGUAUAUCGGUUUCUAUGGUAACAGCAACGUUAGAACAUAUGUAAACAUACCAGAUCCCCUGUAGGUCCUAACAUCAUUUUCUUCUCUGGAUCAAAGGCUUCACUUAAAUAAACUAUAACUUUUUCCCAGCUACAUAAUGCGAUUAGUUAGUUAUAAAUCAGGGGUCGGCAACCCUAGGCAGGGUUAACUGAUAGCACGCACGACCAUAGCUGGACUGGCCAUCGGGCAUAAGGGCAUUUGCUCGGUGGCCCGAUUAUUAUUAUUAUUAUUAUUAUUUUGGUGGUGGACUGACCAGAAGCUGAUCGGUGUGUAAAAAUAAGUCAGUUGUUUGGUGGUGGCUAUGGCGGAGCUUCCACAGAUUCAGUAAAAUUAACAAGUGGUGGAGGCCAGCAGGUGGAUGAGGGAAGGGGAGGCAGGAGGAGGAGAGACCCGAGGCAGCCGCCGGUCGGAGCGUCAGGUGAACUGAACUUCAGGCUGUCUUGACUACAUUGUUGAACGUCCCGAGAACGAGGCCUUUCUGAAGUCAUGAGGAUCCUUGAUGACACUCUCCUGAGCGCCAUCUCUUCUGAUGAAGCAUGGGACACUGGAACCGAGCGCGUCAAUAAAGGCUUUUAUUAUGCAGCUGCAGAGUCUGAAGGUGUGCCCCUUGCAGAAGUAAUCGAUGAAGAUCAGACAGAAGAACAACAACAAAAUCACCAUGUCAUGGAGGCUGUGGACAGCAGUUGGGUUGGACAAGUGGAGGUUGAGGUACCAGCUGCAAAUGUGGACAGUGGCGAUCGGACAGCAUCACGGAAGCUAAAGGGCAGACUAAGGAUUGUGUGUGCAAUGCACAGGGCAGAGCAGAAAUAAACACAACACUGCUUGUAACUCCGAAAUGACAACACAGGCACAGCUUCUUCAAGACGGGCGCUUCGCUGCAUUUAUUGAACGCCGUGAAAACUACAAACAUAAAACACAAAGGCUUUAAGCGC